rnacentral:rRNA from 1 species
UACGUAGGGUGCAAGCGUUAAUCGGAAUUACUGGGCGUAAAGCGCGCGUAGGCCGUCGAGUAAGUCGGGUGUGAAAUCCCUGGGCUUAACCUGGGAAUUGCAUUCGAUACUGCCUGACUAGAGUGUGGAAGAGGGAAGCGGAAUUUCCGGUGUAGCGGUGAAAUGCGUAGAUAUCGGAAGGAACACCAGUGGCGAAGGCGGCUUCCUGGUCCAACACUGACGCUGAGGCGCGAAAGCGUGGGGAGCAAACAGG